UUUGAUCCUGGCUCAGGAUGAACGCUGACAGAAUGCUUAACACAUGCAAGUCUUUGGCAAAUCUGUGCUUGCACAGCCUAGCCAAGGCGGACGGGUGAGUAACGCGUAAAGAACUUGCCCUGCAGACAGGGAUAACAGACGGAAACGACUGAUAAUACCUGAUACAAUUGCUAGCACGCAUGUGCCCGGCAAUGAAAAGUGAUGCUGCAGGAGAGCUUUGCGUCCUAUUAGUUUGUUGGUGAGGUAACGGCUCACCAAGGCGAUGAUAGGUAGCCGGCCUGAGAGGGUGAACGGCCACAAGGGGACUGAGAUACGGCCCUUACUCCUACGGGAGGCAGCAGUGGGGAAUAUUGGACAAUGGGGGCAACCCUGAUCCAGCAAUUCUGUGUGCACGAAGAAGGUUUUCGGAUUGUAAAGUGCUUUCAGCAGGGAAGAAGAAAGUGACGGUACCUGCAGAAGAAGCGACGGCUAAAUACGUGCCAGCAGCCGCGGUAAUACGUAUGUCGCAAGCGUUAUCCGGAAUUAUUGGGCAUAAAGGGCAUCUAGGCGGCCAGACAAGUCUGGGGUGAAAACUUGCGGCUCAACCGCAAGCCUGCCCUGGAAACUGUUUGGCUAGAGUGCUGGAGAGGUGGACGGAACUGCACGAGUAGAGGUGAAAUUCGUAGAUAUGUGCAGGAAUGCCGAUGAUGAAGAUAGUUCACUGGACGGUAACUGACGCUGAAGUGCGAAAGCUGGGGGAGCGAACAGGAUUAGAUACCCUGGUAGUCCCAGCCGUAAACGAUGAUUACUGGGUGUGGGCAUGAAGAGUGUCCGUGCCGAAGCUAAUGCGAUAAGUAAUCCGCCUGGGGAGUACGGCCGCAAGGCUGAAACUCAAAGGAAUUGACGGGGACCCGCACAAGCGGUGGAGCAUGUGGUUUAAUUCGACGCAACGCGAGGAACCUUACCAGAUCUUGACAUCCUACGAAUG
rnacentral:rRNA from 1 species